ACCAGUACCCCCAAAACCUAGGAAUUGCAGCGCUCCCAAAUCUGCCUCUCACACACACGCCGUUGUCGCCGCCGCUGCCGCCGCUAUUCCUCGCCGCCACUGCCGCUGCCGCCGCCGACGUUCAUCUCCUUGACCGCCCCCGUCCAUGCACAUCCACCACGCGAUGCCUCGCCACCCUCUGAAUCUCACUGUGUGCUCCAUCUCGCCGCUCCCCUAGUUCCCUGCAUCUGCUCACUGCUCCCCAUUGACCCGAAGGCGGCUACCACCACUCAUGGCUCUCCUCUCUCAAGGACGUCGCUCCCUAUCCACCUAAAGGCCACCAGCAUUCAUGCCUCCCCCUCCCCCGCCCCUCCCCCGGUUCCCUAUUCCUGGUCGCUGCUCCCCAUCGACCUGAAGGCCGCCGACCACUCACACAUCAUCCGGCUGCUGCCCCUCUGUUGUAUUGCUGCUCGGACUUACUCCACCUGGUGCCUUGACGAGCGACCUACACUACCGGCCGCCGCUCCUCUGUCGGCUGCUACAUACACCGGCCUGCUGCACUGACCAGUGAUAUCUGCCACGUGACGCAGCUCCCCUGACGUGUUGCUGCUCCCACCCAAGUAAUUGCUGAAAUUGAUGUUUACUACAAGUCAACAAUGGAUAGAGGAUGGAUGGACGGGGCUAGGUAUCUAUACCAAAAUUGAAUUCUUUUUAUGUUAAAUAUAGUGUUUUUUCUAAAAGUCUAGUAAUUGCACAUGUAGGACCACACCACCUUAUGUACAGGGAGUUAAUGGAUUUGUAGAGUUUGCAUUUGCCCAUUCAGGAAAAGGAAAUAAGAUCUUAUGCCCCUGCAAAAAGUGUGGUAAUUGUUCUUGGAGAAACAGAAACACUAUUUUGAGCAUUUGAUCUGUAAAGGAUUCAAACAUGAAUACAAAUUGUGGUUAUUUCAUGGGGAGUCAUCAUCUAGUCAUGCAGACAUGCACGUCAUAUUGCUAGUACACAUGAAGGGCUAGAACAUAUUGCAGAAAAUCAUGAUGAGAUGGAUGAAAUGCUUAGACAUAUUGGUCAUGGUUAUGGCAUAGGUGAUAUCGGGGGUCCAGAUGUGGAUGCUGAUCUAGGGGAUGAUGACCCUAGUGUUGAUGCUGAAGGAGUUAAAAAAGUCUAAUGAAGGGGUUAAUGAUGCGGGGGUGGCAAAUUUUUACAAGUUAGUUGAUGAUGCUAGUCAAGAUCUGUAUACUGGGUGCAAAAAAAAUCUCAAAAUUGAAUUAAAUAGUUCGGUUGCUCCAUACUAAAUUCCUUGGAGGAUGGAGUAACAAAAGCUUUGAUAUGUUACUAGAGUUGCUUGGAGAGGCUUUCCCUGAUGGCUGUACUCUGCCAAAGAAAUUCCAUGAAGCAAGAAAGUUAGUUAAACAUAUUGGUCUGGGAUACAUAACUAUCCAUGCUUGUGAACAUGAUUGCAUACUGUUUUGGAAGCAGCAUCUAAACAAACAGAAGUGCCCAGUUUGUAGUACUUCUAGGUGGAAAGUGGAAAGGACUAGCCUUGACGGGAAACGUGUUAACCGAGUUCCUAGGAAGGUCCUUAGAUAUUUCCCAAUUAAGGAACGUCUCCAAAGGUUGUUCCUCAACCCAGAGAAGGCAGCUAAUAUGAGGUGGCAUGAUAAUUCCUCAACCCAGAGAAGGCAGCUAAUAUGAGGUGGCAUGAUAAAGAGCGCACAAAAGAUGGAUUGCUUAGGCAUCCAGCAGAUUCUCCUAACUGGAAACACAUUGAUAGUGAACAUCCUUAAUUUAGUGGUGACAGUCGCAAUGUUAGAUUAGCAUUGGCAACCGAUGGCUUCAAUCCUUUUGGGUCUUUGCAUAGUAGCCAUAGCACUUUUCUUGUUCUUCUAAUUCCAUAUAACCUCCCACCUUGGAUGAUAAUGAAACAAGACAACUUCAUCGUGUCCUCUCUGAUUUCUGGUCCAAAAUCUCCAGGUAAUGAUAUUGAUGUCUAUCUAGAGCCAUUGAUUGAAGAUCUGGAACUAUUAUGGCGCAAGGGCAUUUGGACUUAUGAUGCCUCCCAGCGUGAAUAAUUCCUAAUGAAAGCUGCAAUAUUAUGCAUCAUCGCUGACUUCCCUGGAUUAGGAUAUGCUCAUGGUUGCCCUACCUCGGGAGAUGUUGCUUUCCCUGAGUGCCAUUCAGAAACUUCUUUUCUAAGACUGAAGAAUGGUACAAAAACAUGUUAUAUGGGGCAUCACCGGUUCUUAGAUGAAAAUCAUAUGUUUAGAUUGGAUAAAAAAUAGUUUGAAGCAGAAGAGGUCAGGGUAGCACCUUCUCCACGGUCUAGAGAGGACAUUCUGAAACAAACAGAGAAUCUGAAUGUUGUUUUUGGUAAGGACCCAAGUGGGAACAAGCCUACAAAAAAACGCAAGAAAGGAGAUCCACCAAUUCUAUGGAAAAAGAAAUCUAUUUUCUUUAGGCUUCCCUACUGGAAGGAUUUACUUCUUCGGCAUAAUUUGGAUGUUAUGCAUAUUGAAAAGAAUGUGUGUGAUACUAUAUUUAACACACUUUUAGGAAUUGCUGGUAAAUCCAAAGAUAAUCUAAAUUCUCGAUAUGAUGUUAGAGAUCUAAAAAUAAGGAAAGAUCUUCAUCCUUAUGAAGUGGAAGGUAAAAUCUAUAUUCCUCGUGGCCCAUACUACUUGACUCCUGAGCAGAAGAAGAUAUUAUGUGAAUGGCUCAAAGGUGUUAAGUUUCUUGAUGGCUAUGCAUCAAAUAUAAGCUGUCGUGUAGAUGUUAAUGCAAAGAAGUUAGUUGGGCUAAAAAGCCAUGAUAAUCACAUCUUGCUGCAGCAAUUUCUUCCAAUAGCAAUUCGAGGAAUAUUCCCAGAAGGAGUUGUCAUAGCACUUACCCGUGUAAGCAAUUUCUUCAAGAGAAUUUAUUCUCCUGUUGUGCGCAUAAGUGAUAUGCAACAGCUUGAGGAAGAAAUAGCUAAGACAUUGUCCAUUUUAGAGACUAUAUUCCCACCUUCUUUUUUUGAUUCUAUGGUGCACUUGAUGGUUCAUCUUCCUAGCCAAGUUCAACUUGGUGGCACAGUGCAGUCCCGCAAUAUGUACCCAGUGGAGAGGUAUAAUUUAAAAAAACAUCUAUAUGAAAACAUGCAUUUAGUCUAUGCAUAACUUGACAUGGUUAAUCUGAAUCUAUUUAGGUUCUUGAUGACUUUAAAAAGAUAUGUUCGAACAACAAGUCAUCCUGAGGGCUCAAUAGCUGAGGGUUAUAUAUUUGAUGAGAGCCUUACAUUUUGCUCUAGAUACUUAAAUGGUUGUGAGACCAGACAUAAUCGGAAAGCUAGAAAUGAUGAUGGCACCAACCAAGUUGGAAAUGAUGAUGACUCUCAAGAUAUGUUGUCAUACUUCUCCAAGAAUGUUGGUAGAGCUUUGGUUGGCAAUUGUAAUGUGACCUUAGACCACAAAGUUUGGCUUCAUGCUCACAACUAUGUCUUAUAUAAUUCUAACCAUAUGGAACCUUUCCUCAAGUAAGUGAUUUAUCUUAUUUCGUUCUAGGCUUACUGCAACCAUAUGGAACCUUUCCUUAAGUUACUAUAAUUAUAUUCACAGAAAGCACUUUGAAUACCUUUCCUCUCUUGGACAUCAAUCUAGACAAUGUAUACAUCAUGAAACAUUCCAUGAGUGGUUGUGAAUUCAUGUAAGUAGAUAAUUAAAUCUUAUUUGCUUCAAUAGGCAUGGAUAUCUACAAGAUAAACAGUUUGACAAUAUCAUUAACUUAUUACAGGUUCUUGGGUUACUUAGAAGUGGUGAACAUAUUGAGGAAGAAGUAAUAGCCCUAGCUGCAGGCCCUUUAAUGGUUGCCAAGAAGUAUAAUAGCUAUGCCAUAAAUGGAUAUGUUUUCCACACGGAAUCAUAUCAUCAGGGUAGACCCAGGCAAAGCUAUGGAGUAGCUUUAGUUGGACAAACUGUGAGCAUUUCUGGACAUACUCAAACUAAGGCAUAUUAUGGUGUUAUUACUGAAAUCUUAGAAAUGACCUAUCAUCGGAAAGGAAACAUUGUGCUUUUGAAAUGUGGUUGGUUUGACAACAGAGUACAAGGUAAAUGGGUGAAGACUGAUAAGUUUGGUGUAACUAGUGUACACAUGGCACACAUUAUCAGCACCGGUGAAAAUCACAUGGAUGAACCUUUCAUUUUAUCAUCGCAAGCAUGUCAAGUUUAUUAUGUUCCUGAUAAACAAAAUAAAGAUUGGUCCGCUGUAAGGGUCUCACCACCGCGUGACCUUUAUGACAUUGAUGAAGUGAGAAAUCAGCAUCUGGAGUAUUUAUUGCAGGAACCGGUUAUUCCUAUAAAUUUAAAUGCAAAUUUUAAGGUUCUUGGUGAUGAUAUCUUGGUUAGAAAUGAUACAACUAAAUCAAAUGAGAAGAGGAAGGGGAAUGUCAAAAGGAGGAAGAGAGGAUGAAGUCUAUGCCAAACAGUAUGAGGACUUGAGGGCUGCAAAUAUUAGAGAUAAUCGUAGUAGGAUGGAAGAUAUGGCACUAAGAUAAAAAAAGGAUGCUGUCAAUAUAGAAUCCAUCCUACAUGAUUGUGCUGCGAAAAAGAGCAAGUCUGCCAGUACUCGUAAGAAAGCUCCUAAGACAACACAAACUGAUCUAAUAAUUGAACGUGAUAUCUGCGGCCUAGGCCAUCAAACAUUGACACACAAAAUCAAGAAGCUAUUGCUGAUCAGACUGUUGAAGAUAAUCAAGAAGUGGAAGAAGAUCCUAAAGAAGUUGAUGCGGAGAAGACAACGAGGAAGUUUACUAGAAAGGAGAUCUUGUGGGCAAGAGCAAAUGAAAAACGACCAUUGAUCAAAUUGAAAUAUAACAAACUAAAACAACCAAUUGGACCUGGCUCAAAAGAAUUUCCUGCUUCAGUCACAACACUUAUAAGAACUAGGUUGUUCCCUGUGGACAAAGCUGAUUGGAGAGAUGUCCCGGUUGAACAUAAUGAAAAACUAAUUGAUGACCUAUCUGCAAUAUAUGUGAUGGAGUACUGGCUCAAGAAUUAUUCCUUGCAGACUGCUGCGAAGAAAUGGAGAGCUUUCAAAGCUGAUAUGAAGGAAAAGGCUUUCAAAAUUGAUGACCCCUUGAAGAUUCUCACAAAGGAUGAGCUUAUUGAACGCUGUGAUGAUAGAAUAGAUCCUGAACAAUGGAAAUGGUUGGUCAAUCACUAGUUAUCUGAGAAAGGGCUAGAGCGUAGCAUACGCGGCAAACAGAAUCGUUCUAAGGUGGUAACACCUCAUAUAACUGGAAGCAAAAGCUUUGCACGUGUUGGAGAUGAAUGUGCUAAAGAGUAUGGUCGUGAGCUAGGUAGGCAUGAGUUAUUUAUGAAGACCCAUACUAAAAAAAGAUGGGAAUGCUCUAGCUAAAGCUCAACCAAAAAUUGAUGAACUUAAGAAACCUGCAAUCCUUCAUCCUGAAUUGCUUGAAAGACCCAUAGAGAAAUGCGAUCUAUUUUCCCAUGUAUUUGGUCGUGAACCAAGGGGAUAUGUACGUGGAGUUGGUUUAGGACCAACUCCUGCUACUCUGGGCAUUGAUGGGUACCGCUCAUGUGCAUCCACAAGUGUAUAGAUGGCAAUCCGUGCUAGCCAGAAAACAGAAGAGCAAAACAUAUUGUUGAAGGGCGCUCUACAUCGACUAUUCGAUGAGGUCAGAGAACUUAGGGAAAUAGUGAAAGGUGGCAAAGGACAGGAAGAGAUACUUGAUGAUGAUGCAACAGAUCGUGCGUCCUCUCCUACACUGGAACAUGGAUCUAAUCCUUCACCAACCACUCAGAUGAGAGGAGUUUCUAGUGAUUAUGGUGAUCAUAAUGUGCAUGAGGACAUGAUGAACAAUCAUGAUGCUGAUGUGAUGGUUCCUAUUAGAGGAAGAGCUCCACUCCAACCCACUAGAGGACACGAGGGGGGUGGGAAAGAGGUUGUUCUACUUUCUGUUGAGAGGCCAUGUGGUCAACCCGUGGCUAAGGCUACUCUCCAAACAUCUAAUCCAGAAGCACGUGUGGGAGGAUCUCUUUUAGGUGUUGAGUACCAUGAAGUAGUUGUGAAUAGUGUGAUGAGAGGUGAUCAUAUACUUCCUCGGCAACAUGGAAAGCUGAAGAUGCUGGCAGAUUGCGUUGGGCAUUCUAUAGGUUGGCCGCACCUAAACAUUGUGAAUGAAGAAAGGGCAACAAAAACAUCCAAGGUUCAGCAUCUUCAGUAAGUUGCUCCUAUUCAUUGUGAGUAAUUGUGCUCCUUGAUCAACUUUUGCACCUAGUUUUGCUUCUUGAUCUUCAGAUUUGGUGCCAGUUCCCAUAUACACUGCGAGAAAAAUCUAACUUGAUGGUUUCGUGUGCUCUUUGUUCCCAUAUAAAAUACAAAAAAUUGUCGUAUACCUAUGACUCCUGUAACUUUGUUUUGCUAGGUGAAUGGAGACAACCUUAGAUAUAGUCCAGCAUGCAGUUACACAUGUAUUGAUACAUAUGCUUUAGCUUUUGUUUUACUGAAUGGACGAAUGGAGUUUUACUAAAACUUGAGAUUAUAGUUGGAUGUGGUACAACCAGUUCUCAGCGUAUGGCUUAUUGUUUUGUUACACAUUGUGGUCCUCCCAUGGCGGGUGUUGCUUGUCUUUAGGUUGGUAUUCUAUACUCAUAUCCUUCCACAUAGUACAUGUUUUUCCUGCUGAAAACCUGGAAUUAUGGACAUGAAUGGCUUACUAUAAUUUUACUGUCAUGUAUAUAUUUUGUGGUGGCAUGCUGUCAAAUUUUGUCUAAAAUAUGUUAAAAUGGUGCUGAAAUUGACCCUUGUGUAUAUGUGUCUUUUGCGGACGAGAACCGGAGGAAGAAUUUCGACCCUUCGUUGUAGAUGCCUGAGCAAUGAACAUUGGCAUGCUUUUGGGAAUAUGCAAUUUAAGUUGUCUCAUUUUGUUGUCUGGUUUGUACUGAAUUACAUGAUCUGUAUGCUAUCAAUCAGAUUUGUGAGGUCUACCAUGAAUAUGUGAGCUUCAUUUGAUUUA